AUGGGCAGGACGCUGGGUCUGAAGCAGAGGCAGGACUUGACCCCGUGCACUCUGAUCUGGGACACGGGCGACCCAAGGGACAGCCCAACCACUGCACCACAGCAUCCACCCCGUGGUGUGUUUUCAAACAGCCGCACCCGUGCUCUGCAGCAGGCCCGCGCUCCUGGGUGUCUCCGCGUCCAUCUGCGUCCUUUGUCCCUCUCCAUGUCCAUCUGUGUCCUUUGUAUUGUUCCUGUCCCUUGGGUGUUGCAUCCUGUAGCUUCUCUUCAUCUCACUCCACCUGUCGGCCCUGGGCUUCUCUCCACACCUGUGCACAUCUGCACACGACCCCUGUGGGCCAGGGGUCGACAAACCCCUUCUGACCGGGUGCAUGGCUUGGCAGGCCACAUGGCGUCUGUCGGAAGCAGUCCUCUGCUACCAUGGUGCGAGUGUGGCCCGAGGCGGCACAGAAGUGAGCAGGCGGCAAGUGUUCCCAUAUUUUCCUUGCAAAACAGGCUGCCAGGCCACUGCCCAGCGCCUGCUGCCCUGCUCCAGCCUCUCCUGGACUCUGGGCACUGCUUCCGGGACGUCUCAGAGGUAGUGGCAGCUCAACUCCACGUGUGUUCCGCCCCGGGCGCCUGGUUUUCUGGGUCCUCCCUCGUGAGCGCCAUCACCAGCUCUGUGGAUGUGGAGCCAGAAGGGAGAUGUGGUCCCGGCUCAUUCUUCCCACUCCCCACUCCCAUCACUCACCAGUCAGUCCCUCCUAAGUCACUUCCCUUAAAACAGUGGGAGACUCCAAGGGCUUGGGCUCCUGCCACACAUGUGGGAGACCCAGACGGAGUUCCUGGCUCCUGGCUUCAGCCGGCCCAGCCCUGGCUGUUUGCCGGCAUCUGGGGAGUGAACCAGCAGAUAGAAGACCUUUCUCAGUCUCUGCGUGUCACUCUCCUUGUCCACUGCUGUCCCCUGGUUCAAGUUGUCCUGAGGGUAGAACAAUCCCCCCUCCUGCCCCAAGCUGUCCCCGUCCCGAUCUCCGGAGCUGUUGCCUUCCAGGGCAGCAGGGACGUUGCUGACAAGAUCGGGGAAGGCUCUCGGACGGGACGCUUACCUGGGCCGUGCAGGGCAUCCAGGGGGCUCAGUGUAGCCACAGGUCAGAGCCAGACCCAGGGCGGGGAAGGGGCCAGGGGAGUGGAGAUUGGAGCGCUCGGCUCCCUUAAGAUGGACGAAGGGCUGGAGCUCACGGAGCACAGGUGGCCCCCACACGCUGGGGCGGAGGGGGUGGAUUUUCCUCCAAGCCUGUGGAAGGAGGCAGCCCUGCCAGCCUCUCACCUUGAGCCCAGAGUGUGA
rnacentral:lncRNA from 1 species